GAUGAACGCUGGCGGCGUGCCUAAUACAUGCAAGUCGAGCGAACGGACGAGAAGCUUGCUUCUCUGAUGUUAGCGGCGGACGGGUGAGUAACACGUGGAUAACCUACCUAUAAGACUGGGAUAACUUCGGGAAACCGGAGCUAAUACCGGAUAAUAUUUUGAACCGCAUGGUUCAAAAGUGAAAGACGGUCUUGCUGUCACUUAUAGAUGGAUCCGCGCUGCAUUAGCUAGUUGGUAAGGUAACGGCUUACCAAGGCAACGAUGCAUAGCCGACCUGAGAGGGUGAUCGGCCACACUGGAACUGAGACACGGUCCAGACUCCUACGGGAGGCAGCAGUAGGGAAUCUUCCGCAAUGGGCGAAAGCCUGACGGAGCAACGCCGCGUGAGUGAUGAAGGUCUUCGGAUCGUAAAACUCUGUUAUUAGGGAAGAACAUAUGUGUAAGUAACUGUGCACAUCUUGACGGUACCUAAUCAGAAAGCCACGGCUAACUACGUGCCAGCAGCCGCGGUAAUACGUAGGUGGCAAGCGUUAUCCGGAAUUAUUGGGCGUAAAGCGCGCGUAGGCGGUUUUUUAAGUCUGAUGUGAAAGCCCACGGCUCAACCGUGGAGGGUCAUUGGAAACUGGAAAACUUGAGUGCAGAAGAGGAAAGUGGAAUUCCAUGUGUAGCGGUGAAAUGCGCAGAGAUAUGGAGGAACACCUGUGGCGAAGGCGACUUUCUGGUCUGUAACUGACGCUGAUGUGCGAAAGCGUGGGGAUCAAACAGGAUUAGAUACCCUGGUAGUCCACGCCGUAAACGAUGAGUGCUAAGUGUUAGGGGGUUUCCGCCCCUUAGUGCUGCAGCUAACGCAUUAAGCACUCCGCCUGGGGAGUACGACCGCAAGGUUGAAACUCAAAGGAAUUGACGGGGACCCGCACAAGCGGUGGAGCAUGUGGUUUAAUUCGAAGCAACGCGAAGAACCUUACCAAAUCUUGACAUCCUUUGACAACUCUAGAGAUAGAGCCUUCCCCUUCGGGGGGGCAAAGUGACAGGUGGUGCAUGGUUGUCGUCAGCUCGUGUCGUGAGAUGUUGGGUUAAGUCCCGCAACGAGCGCAACCCUUAAGCUUAGUUGCCAUCAUUAAGUUGGGCACUCUAAGUUGACUGCCGGUGACAAACCGGAGGAAGGUGGGGAUGACGUCAAAUCAUCAUGCCCCUUAUGAUUUGGGCUACACACGUGCUACAAUGGACAAUACAAAGGGCAGCGAAACCGCGAGGUCAAGCAAAUCCCAUAAAGUUGUUCUCAGUUCGGAUUGUAGUCUGCAACUCGACUACAUGAAGCUGGAAUCGCUAGUAAUCGUAGAUCAGCAUGCUACGGUGAAUACGUUCCCGGGUCU
rnacentral:rRNA from 1 species